rnacentral:rRNA from 1 species
AAUGAACGUUGGCGGCAUGGAUUAGGCAUGCAAGUCGAGCGAGAAGUGUAGCAAUACACGGAAAGCGCCGGCAGGGAGAGUAAUACGUGGGAAUCUGCCCUUAGACCUGGGAUAGCAGCGGGAAACUGCUGGUAAUACCAGAUAAUGUCUAUGGACCAAAGGUGUGAUUCCGUCUAGGGCUGAGCCCACGUCCUAUUAGCUAGUUGGGAGAGUAAUGGCCUACCAAGGCGAUGAUGGGUAGCGGGUGUGAGAGCAUGACCCGCCUCACUGGGACUGAGACACUGCGCAGACAACUACGGGUGGCUGCAGUCGAGAAUCUUCGGCAAUGGGCGCAAGCCUGACCGAGCGAUGCCGCGUGCGGGAUGAAGGCCUUCGGGUUGUAAACCGCUGUCGAGGGGGAGCAACUUCCAUAGAGCUAUCUUUAUGGAUUGAGUGAUCCCUGGAGGAAGGACGGGCUAAGUUCGUGCCAGCAGCCGCGGUAAAAC